UACGAAGGGGGCUAGCGUUGCUCGGAAUCACUGGGCGUAAAGCGCGUGUAGGCGGCAGCGCAAGUCGGGCGUGAAAUCCCACGGCUCAACCGUGGAAGUGCACUCGAAACUGCGCAGCUAGAGUCCUGGAGAGGAAGGUGGAAUGCUUGGUGUAGAGGUGAAAUUCGUAGAUAUCAAGCGGAACACCGGUGGCGAAGGCGGCCUUCUGGACAGUGACUGACGCUGAGACGCGAAAGCGUGGGGAGCAAACAGG
rnacentral:rRNA from 1 species